CUCCUACUGAGCUUGAUGCUGACUCAGCCAUAGCAUCCCCAGGUUCAGUGCUCAGGUAUCUGUGGUUUUUAAUGCAUGCAAAUUAAUUAGAGAGCCCAGAGAGAUGAAAAAACCAAAAUACAAGGGGCGAACAUCUCUGACAUACAGCAACAUAUGUGGCUGACUGUUAUGAGUCCAGGGUUAGGGUUUCUCUGUCAGAUCAAAGAAACAAAUCUUUCUUAAUAUGCUAUUGAUCCAGUUAGGUCAAGCACUCACCUCGCUUUCAGGCGUUUUACAUCUAAUGAUGGGUUGGACAGUGGGACCCCACAUUCUCCUAGGAAGAACUUGCCCCUGUCAUCGCUGCCAGCAAUUUGAUUUUCCAAGGACACUGGACGGAUGUUCCUAAAAUAGCAGUCCAACAACUGCAGAGAAAAAAAGGAAUCAAUGUUAAAUAUCUCAUAAAAUCAAUUCACAAGGUGCCUAUAGAGCAAGAAGAGAGUCGCUGCUGAGAAUGAAUGACUUACUUGUUCUUCCUGGCUGGUUAUCUUCAAGUUACCACUGAAUGCUGUGGAACUCAGCUCAACACCAUCAGCUACUGCUUUCCGCGCCAUCCAGUCCUCUACCUUACUGUCUGAAGGUAGUCAUUGCAAAUGUGGGGAUGCAAUCACCGCCAGAAAGUCUUGUGUGGAAAUAUUCAAUAUCCUUCUUGGCCACGGCAAGAAUUUCCUUCUUAUCAGACCUAUUGCAAAUGUGACAGAGGUAAGACAUUAUUGAAAGUUUGUAUGUGUCAUCCAAUAUGUGGAAGUGGCAAUAAGGUCAUCAUACCUCGCUGUUGGCACAACUGUCGAAAACGCUUGGGGACUGUUCGUGAUGAUAAAUCCACGUGUUUGAAGGCGAGUGCAGAGUUUAAUGCAAGAUUCUUCAUCCUUGCAGUACUCCUGGAGCUCUGAGAAGUUCCAGACUCUACCUUCAUUAGAAAACAGCUUCUGUGAAGCAAUGGCUCUGGAAGCUUCUUCCUCACAUUUCUGUGGUGUGCAGUCUUUCAGGCACACUCUGCUCAGGUGUGUGCGAAUGGACUGUUGCGGCUUUUUACAAAGCAGGCAGUAGACAAUGUUUCUCUCCAUCUUGUUUGCACUGUAAAUACAAAGAGUGAGAGGCAGAAAGUGAGAGAGAAAAACUCUGCAUACCAAUUUAAUUUAUUUUGAUAGUAUGAGAAAACAAACAAAGAACAACAACAAUACAUCCACACACAAACUUUGCUUCCAUCCCAACCCCCCAAAAAAAACUUAAAGAAAAAAAAGUUUUAAAACAAGUUUUAAAUUUUAAAAAUGAGGAGAAUGGCACAUGCAAGUUUUACAUGUUCAACCACUUAAAAGCCCAACAAACAGUACUUACAUUAAAAUUGAACCGUUGUCUUCUGUUGUCGUCUUUCUCUCUCUCAGUCAGUGUCCUGCGGAAACAGAGUGGCAAUUAACCAUAGCAUAUCACAAGUUGGCUACAUUUAUGUCCUUGUAGCUGUAUGCUUCCCCAUCCCCUUUUGCCCACUGAAUGACAAAAUGACAGGCCCACUUUUCUGACCCACUGAACAACCCAUUGACCCACCCACUGAACUGAAUUUCUUGGUGAAAAAUGUUUCUCAUGUUACUUUAAGAGCUGUUAAAACUAACUAGUCCAUUCUCCCGAAGUUUACUUUGUUCUUCUAGACCAGGGGUAGGCAACCUUUCUUGCUUUCCUUCUUUCUUUCUUACAGUUAUAUUGGCGGUUGGCAAACAAUUGGAAGGUGCAUUACCGCCACCAACUGGUACGGAGUAUGGUCUGGAACGACGCUCAAAAAAAAAAAAAUUUCUCAAAUCCUGCCAAACAGGUUCCCCUCUUUUAAAAACAGAAAUAAGGCCUGAUAACUUUUACUUCCCAAUUCCUUUCGCAACAAAUCAACCAGAUCCAGUUUGAUCUUUAGGUUACUAAGAUUUUGAAUCAAAUGUCUCCUCUCAACCUGAUACCUCUGACACUGCAACAUGACAUGUUCUACAGUUUCCUCUACCCCACAGUAAUCACAUUUGCCAGUACUAUGUUUCCCUAUCAUGAAUAACGUAUUAUUCAAGGUAGGCAACCUUUCUGAUGGCGAGUGCCAUUUAAGUAGGGCGCUACUAACG
ensembl:lncRNA